rnacentral:misc_RNA from 1 species
UCCGGUUUGUCACCGGCAGUCUCAUUAGAGUGCCCAACUAAAUGUAGCAACUAAUGACAAGGGUUGCGCUCGUUGCGGGACUUAACCCAACAUCUCACGACACGAGCUGACGACAGCCAUGCAGCACCUGUGUUCCCGUUCCCUUUCGGGCACAGCCAGAUCUCUCUAGCCUCCAGGACAUGUCAAGGGUAGGUAAGGUUUUUCGCGUUGCAUCGAAUUAAUCCACAUAAUCCACCGCUUGUGCGGGUCCCCGUCAAUUCCUUUGAGUUUUAACCUUGCGGCCGUACUCCCCAGGCGGGGCGCUUAAUGCGUUAGCUGCGGCACGGAGGACGUGGACAACCCCCCACACCUAGCACCCAUCGUUUACGGCGUGGACUAC